rnacentral:rRNA from 1 species
CCUACGGGCGGCAGCAGUGAGGAAUAUUGGUCAAUGGCCGGAAGGCUGAACCAGCCAUGCCGCGUGAAGGUCAGUGCCCUAUGGGCGUUAAACUUCUUUUGUGCGGGAGCAAUAAUGGUCACGUGUGGCCAGACGAGAGUACCGUACGAAUAAGCAUCGGCUAACUCCGUGCCAGCAGCCGCGGUAAUACGGGGGAUGCAAGCGUUAUCCGGAUUUAUUGGGUUUAAAGGGUGCGUAUGCUGUGAGGUAAGUCAGCGGUGAAAUGCCCCCGCUCAACGGGGUGAAGUGCCAUUGAUACUGCCUGGCUGGAAUGCGGAUGCCGUGGGAGGAAUGUGUGGUGUAGCGGUGAAAUGCAUAGAUAUCACACAGAACACCGAUUGCGAAGGCAUCUCACGAAUCCGCGAUUGACGCUGAUGCACGAAAGCGUGGGUAUCAAACAGGAUUAGAUACCCGGGUAGUC